AAAGCGUACAGCUACCGCUACCAGUGAGUAAGCUUUGUUGGUUGUACUUGUACCAGCAUUUGAUUCGCGCUGUGUUCGGUCUGGGAGCUGUUUCAGCUGUGUAGGCAGCGUGUGGUGGGCUCAUGCUCUCAACGGAAGCGUCUUUAUUGGGAGGCUAACUACCGUAGCCUGCUUGUCCGUACACUCGUAUCAGCAUCUGGUAUGCUGUUGUGCCCAUCCUGGGAGCUGCUUCUGGGUAACCGUUUGUGGUGUGUGUCUCUGAGCAUUUGGCUCACUCGGUUUCUGCGUAUAUUGGUAUUUAUCAUCGGGCUUCGGGCUGCCGGGCGCUGCGCUGCGAUUGGGCCUGCUCUACGGAUCUUCGUAUCCACCUCUUCUGUUUUCGGCUGCUGUUCUGCUCUUGAUUCAUUGGGCUACGGCCCUCACGCUGUAGUAUAGGAACGUUGUUGUGCGGCCGCACUCAAUUGAGGGGCCACACCUCAUGGUAGUAGCCGCCGCGAGUGAGUGAGGGCUCAUUGUAAUGAGUGUGUGUGGUUUAGUGUUGCCACCUGUCCCGGUUUUUCCUUAUUGUCCCGGAUUUUCAUGGUCUGUCCCGGAAAAAAAAAAAUCCGGGACACUGAAUGUCCCGGUUUUUUGUACAUAAUGGGCAAAAUGUGUAUUUCAACUUGCGAGCCAGCUGAGAACCAGUUUGCUUUCCCGAGCUCGCCGUGCUAAGCGGAGCCACGUCAUUACGUCGCUGAAUACGUCAUUACGUCACUGUAUACGUCAGUUACGUCGCUACGUUUGCAUAAACCUUGGCGCGAAUAUCAAAGCAAAAACAACACGGAAGAAGCAGCAACAACAACAAUAAUAAUAAUGGAUGACUUGGCGUUUGUACAGCUGCUGCUUCUCAUCGCCUAAAAAUGGUGAUCUUUCGCGGUCUUUUUAUUGUUGUUGGUCUUAACAACUCCGCCCCCCCGCUGACGUAAGCGGUUCUUUCCUCUGGCCCAGCAGAGAGUUGGUGCUAUCCUGGAACCGGUUUUUCUGGCCCCAGAGCCAGUUCUUUGUCAGUGGAAACAGAAAACCCGGUUCCAAACUAAGCACUGGCCCCGAACCAGCCCUGGAACUGCUUUGGUGGAAAAGGGGCAAUGGAGGAUGCUUGGACUGAUAAAAGAAACAGACUCUCUGUUGCAAUGGUGAAGGCUGAGCUUCAAGUCAGGCUAAACUUUCAGUUGUCCUGUACUGAGUUCAAGACAUUCAUUAAAAAUCAGCCAGGACUCAUAGCAGCAGCAAAGAAAAACACCAAAUAUAAAUGGAAGAUUAGGUAAGGUUUUGGUGAAUUAAAUGAAAGUGUAGUGUAGUACAUACUCCUGUAUGUGCCCAGUUAUAUCAGUUACAUGUCCUCCUAUGUAUUUGUUUAGCCAAGAGCAGCAGAGACACAGGUAAGCACAAGCAAAGCACACACCACACUCUAAGCAAUCAGGUAAGCUGUUUAACACUACACCUUACAUUGUUACAUUCAGGUAUUCUUAGAUACAAUGAAAAGUUAGAUUAUUUAUUUUUAUUCCACAUAAGCAAACAAACAGAACUUAAUUACAGUAUGUACGUAUUCCCCUUUUACCUGUGCCCACUACUGCCCCAGGUGUCCACAACCAAAAACUGUUGGAAAUAAACCAAAAUAAUGAAGACCUGCUAUAUUAUGUAAAGCAAUUAACUAAACAAAUAACUAGCAAAAGCGUCAUUUUUACUAAUUAAAGCAAUACAAUUUCAGCAUAGAAGGGCGAUUUUUGUCUUGGGUUAGAUGUGCGAAGGGCGCCGUUGCUUACAAGCAAAAAGGUCGGUUGGAUGGUCGAAAUGUCCAGGAUUUUUGUCAGACACAGGUGGCAACCCUAGUGUGGUUGUAUGUUUAUGUGGAGGUGAGUGAGUGUGAGUUGGGUGUGAAGCGGGUGUUAGCUGCCCGCUAGUAGGUACAGUGUUUGUGUUUGUUUUGGUUUUUGUAUUUAUUUUGGUUUGUUUUGUGUAUUUUGUUUGUAUUUCUUUUGUACUUAUCUCGUGGCGCAUUGGUUGUGCUACAGGGUUUGGGUGGGCUUCACGUUUGUCCUCACGAAUGCUGUACUGGUUAAGGUGUUUUGCUGUGCCCUUUUUUGGGGGGGGAUGUAAUAUUUGCUGUGCCCUUGGGGAUUUGAUAUUUGCUGUGAUUUGGUGUAUAGCGUGCUCUGUGUGUGUGCUAUCACUUGAGUCGUGAAUUGCCGAUUAUCGGCUCUGUGGGCUUGGCCGGCACCACGAAUCUGUGUACACAUAUUUUUUUAUUUUUUUUAAUUUUAUUGUUGUACUGUACCAUUGGUGGGCCAAUUAACCCUCACCCCCACCCUGGUGGGUGCAUGUGUGUGUGGACUGUGCACUACC